GACCCUGUCUCAGCAGGCAUCACUACGGCCUGUCUUUUCCUGAGUGGUUUUCUGCACUUCUCUUCCAUCUUUUCCCUUCUGUCCCACUCUGGAAGUCACUAGUCUGUGCCUUCCUUACCUCCCAUGAUUUCUGCACCUUCAUUUCCAAAGGCAAGUGAAAACAGUGCCAGGCUGUGCACAUGGGUAACUCCAGGGACUUCUCCUCCUCCCAUUUCCCCUAAAGCAUUUGACAGGCAGACCUUGGAACUGAGUCCAGCAGCACUAGGUCAGAGUGAUGGCUAAAGCUAAAGGCAAACUGGAUUCUGUUCAGGAGGUUCUCCUUUGUCAUUUUUAUCUCCAAAUAGAAGACCUCUGUCUUCCCAGAAGAUUAAAUAAUAGAAAAGAAUAAUAGCCCAAGGUCUGGGACAGAGCCUGCCUUUCUAUCAAGCUUCUGGUGAUGGGAUGUCGCUGGUCUCAUCCACAAUUUGAGUAGCAAGAGCCCUGGACAACUUUCAGGAAGACAGUUCUGAUCUGUAGCAAUUAACACAUGGUCAUCCUCAGAAAAAGGAGAUACCCAUAGCUUAAAAUACAGGAACCAAGAACUUUGAGCCUAGACAUUUGGAUGAAAAGUGAUUUCCACCUGGAGAAAAUCAUUGUCCUUCUGUGCAGAGCUCCAUGUAGCUAUAAGAAAUUGAGGCAUAACUGCUGUGUCCACCAGCCCGAAGUUGUUCCAGGGACAGCAGCAACCUCAGGAGGAGGCCAGAGAUUGGCCAAUGGAAAGGCAGAAAGCAGAGACUCUCCACCCAGGUGGAGGCACCAGAGGGCCCAUGGAGGGAAUGGACAGCUGGCGUUAUGGUCCCCCUACGUUUUCCCAAGACUCUUCCAGCUGCCUAAUGGCCAACUGAGGCUGCUCCUUGACCUUGAGUACAAAUGGCCCUCAUAUCCAAACAGCCACCUGACCAGAGCCAACCGACAACCUCCUGUGAGCUUCUCAGCCCCAGGCUGGCUCUGCAGGGAACAUGAAGGAGAACCCAUCUCUGCUGCUUUUGAAGUGCAGUGGCUUUCACUUGGAAUGGAAAUCUUUACAGGUGGCACCAGGGGCUGUGCAGAGACGACCAGGGAGAAAUUCUGGACUUCUCAUGUUCUGCCUCUGAGACAGACUGUGGUGGGAAACACAAACAAUACAAAUCCUUGGUUCCAUUUUCCUCAUCCCUUCCUGGCAAAUGGAAUCAAAUGAGGCUUUGCCACAAGGAAAUGGGGUGAGACUUUGUCAUGUAUGUCAUUGAAGUUCAGCUAUGCAAAAACGUUCACCUAUCCUUGAUCGACCAGUCCAGGAACCAUCAGAGAAGGAAAUGAGAUUCGACUAUAAGACCUGUUCUUUACAAACCCCUGCACAGCCCUAAUGAUCAACACCACUUCCAGUGCUCAUAAAUUACUGCUUCAAUAAUUGUUCUGCAAUUCUGCCUAUUCUCAUUGAAUGCUUUGUAU